CUUCAGGCCAGGUUUUUUCCUUACAGUAAAAUCUGGUUUUUCCCCAAGCUGGUCCUUCCCAGGCGUGCUGUUGUCAUGGGAACCUGCAGAGGCUGCCUCGCUCUGGGGGAGAAAGGGCUUGUUGAUGAAAUCCAAAGAAUCCCACCACUGCUGUUCCAGACACUACAAUAGGGGCUAGCUCUCACAGCUCCAGAAUGCAGCCAGCCACUGGGGGCCGCCUGGCUGUGGAGGUUCCCACGCACCCCACCUGCUGCCCCGUGCUCAGUGGGUCCCGAAGUGAGCAGCCGUGACUCAGGGAGCAAAAUCCCUUGAUUCAAACUUCUCUGCCACCAUUUCUUUUCUCCUCCAGCCCCCCCUCCUCCUUCCCCUCCUCCUCCUUCUCCUCCAUUUUGCUUUUCUUGACAAGGGGUCUCCCGUAGCCCAGGCUGGCCUCUAGCUCACUACGUAGCUAAGUAAGGCCUUGAACUCUUACUCUUCAGUCUCCAUCUCCUGAGUGCUGGGAUUGCAGAAGACGAGGGUGUGUCCGCAGAGCGUGUACACUUGGCUUUGUGGGACAGAUGGGCAAACUGAGGCCUCAGACGCACAAGUGACUUCCGGAGUCAUGCAGCCAGUAAAACAGAAGCAUCGUCCUUUGAAGUGUGCCAUGGCCUAGAAACGCUGGGGACCGCAUGGAAGCAAGCCUCAACCUUCCGAGUGCCAAGAUCACCAAGACUGUGGCCUUGUGUGCCACCUUGCCCAGCUGCUGCGACUCUGUCUAACAGGAGCCCUGGCCAGGCCCUGGACCUGCAUGAUCCUGGUGGCUCACAAGCAACCACCUCAGCAAGGCAAGGACGUGGCAUGCCUCCUGUUCUGUUUCCUGCCAGAUCAUGAUGAGCCCAAGAGUGACUGAGUCAAGACUCAAGCCCUGUGGUCUGGAUUCCUCCCCAUCCCCACCUCCACACCAGCGUCAGGUGAAUCAGGAGGUCAUACGGUAUCCUUCUAUUACGUAAGGUGACAAGGCCUCUCUCAGACAUUAUUUUCCAGUUCCUUCCCCAGUUCCAUUUCAGUCUACAUGUCUCCUGUUUCCCCACACCCCACAACACUCUAAUGAGCUGCUCCAUGUCCUGAAAUAUAUGCGUAUCCUUGUGAAGGAUGUAACGUUGUUUUGAAUAUGUAUGCAUUCUAAACUUAAAUAAAAAGGCAUUGUGCUAUCGA